UACAGAGGGUGCGAGCGUUGUCCGGAAUCACUGGGCGUAAAGGGCGCGUAGGUGGCGACCCAAGUCGAUGGUGAAAGCUCGCCGCUCAACGGCGAGUCGGCCACCGAUACUGGGUUGCUGGAGCACUGUAGAGGCAGAUGGAAUUCCGGGUGUAGCGGUGGAAUGCGUAGAGAUCCGGAAGAACACCGGUGGCGAAGGCGGUCUGCUGGGGUAAUGCUGACACUGAUGCGCGACAGCGUGGGGAGCAAACAGG
rnacentral:rRNA from 1 species